rnacentral:rRNA from 1 species
UGGGGAAUUUUGGACAAUGGGGGAAACCCUGAUCCAGCCAUGCCGCGUGAGUGAAGAAGGCCUUCGGGUUGUAAAGCUCUUUCGGCCGGGAAGAAAUCGCCACGGAUAAUACCUGUGGUGGAUGACGGUACCGGAAUAAGAAGCACCGGCUAACUACGUGCCAGCAGCCGCGGUAAUACGUAGGGUGCGAGCGUUAAUCGGAAUUACUGGGCGUAAAGCGUGCGCAGGCGGUUUAUCAAGACAGGCGUGAAAUCCCCGGGCUCAACCUGGGAACUGCGUUUGUGACUGGUAGGCUAGAGUGUGGCAGAGGGGGGUGGAAUUCCACGUGUAGCAGUGAAAUGCGUAGAGAUGUGGAGGAACACCGAUGGCGAAGGCAGCCCCCUGGGCUAACACUGACGCUCAUGCACGAAAGCGUGGGGAGCAAACAGGAUUAGAUACCCGCGUAGUCC